AGAGUUUGAUCCUGGCUCAGAAUCAACGCUGGCGGCGUGCCUAACACAUGCAAGUCGAACGCGAAAGGGGCUUCGGCCCUGAGUAGAGUGGCAAACGGGUGAGUAACGCGUGGGUGACCUGCCCUCGAGUGGGGGAUAACGUUCCGAAAGGGGCGCUAAUACCGCAUGAUAUCCCGCUCUUGAAUAGGUGGAGAUCAAAGCUGGGGACCGCAAGGCCUGGCGCUUGAGGAGGGGCCCGCGUCCGAUUAGCUAGUUGGUAGGGUAAUGGCCUACCAAGGCGACGAUCGGUAGCCGGCCUGAGAGGGCGGACGGCCACACUGGGACUGAGACACGGCCCAGACUCCUACGGGAGGCAGCAGUGGGGAAUUGUUCGCAAUGGGCGCAAGCCUGACGACGCAACGCCGCGUGGAGGAUGAAGGUCUUCGGAUUGUAAACUCCUGUUGACCGGGAAGAAUUCCUCCGGGGUGAACAUCCCCGGGGGGUGACGGUACCGGUUGAGGAAGCCCCGGCUAACUCUGUGCCAGCAGCCGCGGUAAUACAGAGGGGGCGAGCGUUGUUCGGAAUUACUGGGCGUAAAGGGCGCGUAGGCGGCCGACUAAGUCAGACGUGAAAUCCCCGGGCUCAACCCGGGAACUGCGUCUGAUACUGGGCGGCUCGAAUCCGGGAGA
rnacentral:rRNA from 1 species